rnacentral:rRNA from 1 species
UACGGAGGGUGCAAGCGUUGUCCGGAAUCACUGGGCGUAAAGGGCGCGUAGGUGGCCUGUGGAAGUCUGCGGUGAAAGCCCGGCGCUCAACGCCGAGUCGGCCGUGGAUACUCUCGGGCUUGAGCUUACUAGAGGCAGAUGGAAUUCCGGGUGUAGCGGUGGAAUGCGUAGAGAUCCGGAAGAACACCGGUGGCGAAGGCGGUCUGCUGGGGUAAUGCUGACACUGAGGCGCGACAGCGUGGGGAGCAAACAGG